rnacentral:snRNA from 1 species
GUGCUCAUUUCAGCAGCAGCACAAAUGCUAAAAUUGGAACAAUACAGAGAAGAUGAGCAUAGCCCCUGUGCAAGGAUGACAUGGAAAUUCCAUAUUUUA